GUCUGUUCCCAAACAUUUCUCUUGUAACACCACUGAGAAUUAGCCAAAGCUGGAUUUGAAGCCUGGGGAUCAGGACAACAGAGGGGAGAGAGAAGAGGGUAAGACAGGACUGUCAAAAGAAAGGCGGACUCUCAUGGGUACUGAGUUACAACAAUGGAAAGCUGACCUCCUCCAUGAGGUCCUCACCAGAGCCAGAAAAUGUCCUUAAAUCUCCAGGACUGUGAGACAAACACAGCUCUGUUAUUUAUAAAAUUACCCAGCCUGGGAUAUUUCAUUAUAGUAAUUUAAAAAAUAAUACAAGAUAUAAGAGCAGGAGUGAUGGGACCAGUUUUCUCCUCAAUGUUUUUCAAAAGCCGCUCACAAUUAAAAGUAUGUGAAGGGUAUUUGUUGCAAUGAAAAUUUCUCUCUUUUUGCAUAUUUUUGGUUUUAAUUGCCUCCUCUUGUCACAGGGAAGGUUUGGAUUCUUGUUAGAAAGCAGAAGGUGAUUAAGGAUGCUCCUUUUCUAAGACUGGGGUUCGAAAAGCCAGAGUGAGCUCUUAGAAUGCAUUGCUAGGCAGCCAGUGACAAGAAAUUUGGGAGUAGUAAGAGCAGCUAAGGAGAAAUGAUCUUCCUGUAGAAAGGCAUAGGAAUCACUAGAUCUGCUAAGCAGUAGUGACCUCUGCUUCAACCCAAGGAAUACUUCCAGAGAGCUCAAAGAUUUUAGAGGAAUGUCUACACAGUACACCGAAGAAGGAAGAACUGCCAGAGGAUGAACUCUAGCACUGUGUAUCACCACACAAAGAAAGAUCUAAAACCAGCUGAAAAGUCUUACUGCCAUGGAACCCUGUUACAGGUGCACAGGUGGCCUAUGUAGGUGGAGCUGAGAGUGCUGUGGUGUGUGGAAUGUGGGAACACCUGCUCUCCAGGUUCUGCUCAUUGAAUUCCCCCUAUCUUGGUGGAUACCAGACAGACAAUCAUCCCUGAUUUCAUUAAAUACACCCUUUUAAUAACAUACUAUUUUGCUAUUGAAAAACACGGAAGUUCAGAUGGAAAGAAAUCUCUGAUACUAUAGUUAGUCAAUAGCAAGAGUCAGGAUUUAGAGUCAUGUCCUUAUUCCCUAGUUCAUACGUGUUAAAUUGCAUUUUAUUGGGAAGUAAAUGUCCUUUCUUUGUCCUUAUGUCUUAGAAGAUAAUUGUGUGUUCACAGUAGGGCAAUAAAGAUGAUACAAUAGAAGUCUAAUAAGACAUUUUCAUCACUCCUAGUUUUCCUAUUAUUCAUAAAGGACUAUGAUUACACUUCAAGGAAUUUUUAAAGGAAUACUAUUUUUAAAACUAUCACCAUCUGGAAUUGCAUUCUUAACAAAUUAAGAAAUAAACAGAAGAGAAAGGUAAAAGAGGACCUGACUAUGACUCAAUUAUGGAUAGUGUUUAAGUUAAAUGAUACAGCUUAAAUGUGGAGGAAUAUGGGCACCUAACAUGGAAUCCAAGUAUUAAGCAGUCUUAUCCAUUUCAGGUACAGGCAGCCCCUAUAAAACUUGAAGCUUGAAAGAACAGAGAUGAAUUCUUUCUGUGUCCAAAUUUAGAUUUUAAGAGAAAAUGAAGAGCAAAAGUGUAAAUCUCUCUAAACUAACCAGUCAGUUAAAUCAUCCCACCAAGAAUAGAGAAAAUCCAGGAUAGGAUAUUGUAGCCAUGGAUCUCCCUCCCAUGGAAAAAAAAAAAAAAUCAGGAGGAGGGAAAACAUGUUUCUCCUGGACAGAAACUGUGCCAGGUUGUUUUGUCAUAUGUUUAACAAAAAUGUGUAAGUAAGCAUCUAAUGUUAAACUAUUUGCUGAGUUUCAGAGAGAAACAAAAGGCUAGUGAAACAGCUACCACACUCACGAUUUAUAGUUCUAUUCACUAACACAAAAAAUAAAAGUCUUCAUGUGGAAAAUUUCCUUAUAUCAAUGUUUUCUACCAUGCACAAAUAAAGAAAAUAUUAAAUUUUAAGGAUUAAGGUAACAUGAAGUACUUUAAUUCAGCGCCAGAGACAUGAAUAAUUAUUCAUUCCAACUAUACUUUCAAAAAUCCCAUGCUUGCCUUUUCAUUUAUCCACCUUACAAAUGUGCUUUUGAUGUAUGUGCUAUGGUUUGGGUCUAAAAUGUUAUCCAAAACUCUCAUGAAGUCCCUAUCAUUAAAGCAGCAAUAUUCGGGGGGCGGGGGGGGUGCUUUUAGAAGGUGAUUGAAUCAUGAGCACUAUAACUUCUUCAUAAUUUGAUGCCAUCAUUGGAAAAUGAUAGAAACUGAGGACUUAUGGCCAUGUUGAAGGGAUGAAUCAUGCAAACUUGCCCUUGCAGACUACAUCUUACCCUCAUUUCUCCCUACUUCUUUCUGUCCAUUUUUCCCUCCUCUGUGCUGUGAGGUAAGCAUCUUUGUUCUCCCACUUGCUCCCUGCCAUGAUGUUCUGCCUCAUCCAUGGGUCCAGAAGCAAUGGAGCCAGGCAACUAUGAACUAAAGCCUCUGAAACUAUGAGACCAAAUAAAUCUUUCCUCCCUUCAUUGGAUUUUCACGGAUAUUUUAUCAUAGCACAUAGCUUUGAAAAAUCAUUAUUUACAACUUUUACUAUAAGACUGAGACACUGCAGAAAUGACAGCAUU